UCACCCUUGGUCUCUCCAAUGGUGGCUGAAAUCUUGGCUCUUGAAAGCGGCAAGAUUCUUCUUCAUCAUCAUCAGGGGUAUUUCCCAACCCAACAAGCAAUGAUUAAUCUGCCGUGAAUAUGAGCACAUAAGGCAGGAUUCGAACAACCACAUUUGUUUAAGUGGACGAGUAAAUUGACUACCUAAUUAAUCCAAGUUAAUUUUUUAUACUUAUACUAUUGUCUCCCUAACCUUACAGUUAUUUAUAUAUGAUUAAACUUUAUUGUUGUUAUUUUUUCCUUAAUGACAGUAUAUAGAUUAAAUUCUUGUAUUAUUAUCAUUACCUUCCAUGCUUCCUAAAACCUUAUUAAUCUUCUUCUUACAUCCUUCGCAGCAGUUGGUAGACACCUUCAAUUCGAUCUUCUGGAACGAAUUCAAUGCAAAUUGAUUUCAGUUUAAUCGUUCUGACCCAACAACAACAAUAGUUAAGUCUUGUCUCACUAAAUAUGAUUGACUGUAUUGUUGAAUAUCGAUGGUUAAUCAACGGUUUAAGCUAAUUAAGGUAUGCAAAGGAUAAUUAAAAGCAAGAAAGGAAAAUGAUGAAGUAAAAAGCUUUCAAGUUAAAGAGAGCAGAAUGAAGGACCUUUAAGACCACAUCCUUUGACAUGCCCUUCGUGAGUUAAGUACUUGGAAGCUAGUAGUGUGAAGUGUGAACUUAUAAAAUAUUAAAAAAUGGAACAGAUAUUCUGACAGAUAACGUUGGACUCAUGGGGCUAUUUAUAAGCAACAAAAUCUAACAAAUUCCACCAACAUUGUAUGCUUUCAAUCUCUUUUAACAAGUAAGAGUUUUUUUUUGGGGUU